AUGUCUGACAAACCCGAUAUGGCUGAGAUGGAGAAAUUCGAUAAGUCGAAACUGAAGAAGACAGAGACGCAAGAGAAAAAUCCACUGCCUUCCAAAGAAACGAUUGAACAGGAGAAGCAAGCAGGCGAAUCAUAAUGAGGCGUGCACCGCCAAUAUGCACUGUACGUUCCACAAGCAUUGCCUUCUUAUUUUACUUCUUUUAGCUGUUUAACUUUGUAAGAUGCAAAGAGGUUGGAUCAAGUUUAAAUGACUGUGCUGCCCCUUUCACAUCAAAGAACUACUGACAACGAAGGCUGUGCCUGUCUCUCCCAUCUGUCUAUCUGGCUGGCAGGGAAGGAAAGAACUUGCAUGUUGAAGAAGUGGGGUGGGACGACAGUGAAAUCUAGAGUAAAACCAAGCUGGCCCAAGGUGUCCUGCAGGCUGUAAUGCGGUUUAAUCAGAGUGCCAUUUUUUUU
rnacentral:lncRNA from 1 species